UCACUAUUUUAGCCUGAUAGUGCCAUUGGUUGUUUACAGCUCACAUUGCAAAACAUCCUUUCAAAGCCCAAUGAUAAAUUAAAAUUAAUUAAACACCCGAUAGACUGCCCAAAGCUCAUGAAAAUUGAGCAUGAGUAGUACAAUAAUUUGACAGGCUCUCUACCUGUAAGAAAGUCCAGAAAAGGAUGUCCUGGUUUACAAAGAUUUAGACUGGGAAGUUUAAGCAAACUUCGCUGCCAUGUUACACAUGAAACUGGAUGGUUGGAGCACUCAGGUCAGAGCCACAGAGAGAAUCAGUCCUUGCUGGUAGGUGGUAGGUGCCAUUGGGUUGGCAUCCUGUUCCUGGUGAUUUUGAGAGACUAUUAAUCUUGUUCCAGUGCAGAACAAAAAGACAUCUAAGGUGCUGGAAACUUUUCCUGUGCUGCUAGGGAAGUUGGUGCAAGUGAGGCAAGGACAAUGUUUUUCUUUCUACAUCCAUCCUCCAAACAUUUGUAAUUUCUCUGACUACUCAUUGUGUGCAUUCUUUAUUUUCUCAAAGCAGUACUACUCAGAUCCCCUUAUCUUAUUCUCCAAGGGGGUUCUAAACUGUAAGCAAGCAGGCUGUAGAUCAAUUAGCUCCAUCUACUUCUUUUUCUUUUUAUAUUUAUUUCUUUUAUUUUUAUUUCUUUUUAUAUUUAAUAGCAAACAGUUACAUUUCCAUCUCUUGGUGCCCACUGACUUUGAAGCUGAGAUACUGGGAAAACAAGGCAGUUAAGUCUUGGUAUGAGAAAGAGCUACCCCAGUGCAGCACAGAAAAAAAGACAUCCUUUGCUCUUCAAAUGCCACACUAAGUCCUUCAGCUGCAGGGGAGUUGGAGUGGCUCAGGAAUUUACUGUGAUAAUAUGAAGUUCAGACUUUAUUCCUGGAAAGGGCUGAAGUAGCUACAAUAGCUGGUUUUCAGUUAGCCAUCAGGUGACAGCCCUAACACAGUUGUCUUGCAGAGUUACAAUUUUUCCUCCUACCCAUCUUCCCUAGGCUUAUUCCAAAAACUUAAUGAAAAUUUCUGCAUAAGAGAAAUAUGUUGACGUUUCCCCCCAGCAUUUAUGAUAUUACCAAAGAUACUAUUCCUUGUUUAGUUUUCUAUUUUUAAGAUAAAUACUGUGCUCUUUAUAACCCCAUUGAUGCCAACAGGUUUUUCUCACCUUACAUCUAGGAAUGAUACCAAUUUUCUGUGUGUUUCUCAUUGUGCCAUUCUGCCUAGGACAUAAUUGUGAGAGGAAAAAAGAUCUCCCACAGCUGAGGGAGAGAGUCCAAGCCAUCUGACUGGGAAUUCAUGCCACUGUCAGUCCAUCAGCUGUUUAUCUUUUCACUGACCCAAAGCCCUAGGAGAUACCACCUUGUUGAAUCUAUCAUAUACAUCGUGUACCAGAGCCCCAUUGCUGGGCAGACCUGAUCUUGUGCUGCUAUAGCAUCUAGCAACUAACUUGUCAGUGGGGAUAAAAAAGCUUUCAGAGGGGACAGGAAUUUAAAAAAUGCAGCACAGUAAAGGUCAAGAUUCUUGUAUGUUCUGCACAUAUAAAGCAACAUUCAUCCAAAUCCUUUUUUCCAUCCUAUUACUUAGUUCAAUUUAUAAUGAUGAAGCAAUUGGUCUGGAGUGUGAAUGUGUUAAUAUACGGGAAGUAAAUUAACUCAGUAAAUUGCUGACUAAACCAAACAAAUUAAAUUUUUUUAUUUGGGAAUAACAUCCUCCCUAUCCCUUAUCAAACAAAAGAUACCUGUAUUUAAAGCUUGCACUUAGGGCACUCUCCCUAGUACUGCACUAUUUGUGACACAAACACAUUAAGUUUAUUACAGCAGGGAAAAUUAUUUCUAUCUGCAAGUAUUUUGUAGUAGCUCAUUUUUACAUACCACUCAUGGGUCAUUAGCUCCCAAAUAAGCAAUAUCUGCUCACAUACAUGGCAUGUAGCCACCUUAAAAGGGACAGUGGAAGCACAUGCUUAAAGAGGUCAUCCUGGGAAAUUCUUGCAGCCAUGCAGCUCUGAUUAACAGGUUUACAGAAACAGGAGCUGCAGGCAGACACUUGUCCAUCACUUCUCAGGCUAGACUGUACAGAUGGCAUUUUCUCCAAACUCUUCCACUUUGUGUUACGAAGUGUUUGAUAUGGAAGUUCAACCUAUUCUAUUCCAGGCUCAACAUACUCCAGAACCUGAAGAAAACUAGUCUCAGGGAGUGUUACAGCAACAUUUGCAGCUUAACAUUUCAGCACAGACCCUUGAAGGGAUCUUCAGGCCUGCUCCUUGCCAGAAGAGUUUCAGUAAGGGCUGAGAUCAGGAUACAAGCUGAUAGAUUCCAAGUUGGGAUUUAGACACCUAAACAUAUAGGUGUCUUAUUUUCUUCAUAAUAAAUGCUUUGCUUGUAGCAUCACAGGACAAUUUUGAUCUAACAGGCACUGCCUCAAGCUCCAGUACAGGCUAAGCUGUAUUAAGUCUAUUGGAUAUGCCAUAACGAGACAAUAGCAAGUCACCAAAACAUUGACUCAACUGGCUGAAUAUGAAUCAGUGGUCUAUCUCCAUAGGCUAAAGGCAGGUAAGAAAAUAAUAAAGGUCAGAAAAAUAAAUGCCACUAAGUGGCCACUUGGCUUGACCCCUCAGCACAGUGUAUCAAGGAGCUGGAGAGAGGUAGGGCCAACUGUGGCUGGGAGAGUGCAAGAGAACAGCUUCAGCCCAAGAAAAAGUAGUGUCGGUAUAUUCAAAGGUGCAGAAGCAAGAAAGGAAUUUAGUAAGUACUGAGCCUUCAGUGAAGAAAGGAAGAACAGAUUACUUAAUCUAUGGAAGUUGAAAACCUGACCAUAGAAUUGCACUUUUCUGUGGAAGAUUGAAUAAUAGGGUAUUAAUUAAACAGGAAUGUACAGUUACAGACAGAAAAAUGUAUUUUCUGAGAGAAUUAUUCAGAAGAAAGAAUGAAAUAUCCUAAGAGCUGAAUAUUACAGAAAAUCUUGAACUGAAAAUGAAAAACUAGGAUAAAGUUUUAUUUCAAAACUGAAAGGCACCAUCUUCCUCGUGGAACCUAAACCACUUCCAGUUUCAGUAUGCAUCAUAUAUUACUCACAUUACUGAUCCACAGGUGGAGGAGACGUGAGGUGAGCCUGGUAAAGUCUGAAGGAGAGCCAUCACAGAACUUGAAGCAGUGAAAAAAAAAAAGAGUUAAAAAGCCCCCAAAGAUAAAAUACAUCCUCAAUUAAAUUAUAACUCAGCUAAUAUGCACAAAGUCAAAUGACUUCUGGCUCAGUUUCUCAGAGAAAAUUAGAUAGUUCUGCUCCAAGUGGAAGAAAAAUGUACCCUUUUGCAAAUGCAUUUCUCUGUGUUAUGCUUUUAAGUACCAGCUUUUAAACCAUGUCUGAAGAGGCCUGGGAAAGCACAUUAGCACUUCUCUACAAGCACUGUUUGAACUGGUUGGCUUGCAGAGAGGGGAAUGAAAGAUUUCCAGACUCAGUGCAGACAAAGCCCAAAAGCUGUUGGCAUAAGUACAAAGCUAGAAUAGUGCUUCAAGAAAACAGAAAAAAAAUGCCUUUAAAAAAGAAUUCACCAAAAUGACAUGAAACAGCAAACAGGAGACAGGGCCUUUGAGAGCAGUUUUUCACAAUUAGCUCUCUGCUUUUUUGUGAAUGUUAAAGAUGUUCCACAACAGGAGUCAGAAACCUGCUGAAAGCCUGUUCCAAAAACCCUUCUGCAUCCCCUGGCUCAGUUUUCAGCGUUGCAAUUACCAGAUUGCCAGGACAACUGAUACAGCAAAUUGACUGUUCACUUCCAAAGCUGCUUGCUGCUGGUCUUACAGAGUUAAUGCAGGAGUUCUGGGAAGCAGCAGCAUGCCUUGAGCAGCUUACAACAUCCCUUGGGAGAAUGAGAGACUUACCAUCCAUUUCUGUGUGUAGAGGGACACAGUGCAAUGAAAAGUUAUCAACUGCAUUUAAAAUGUCCCUCUUUUUGUGACCAUCACUCUCCUUUCCCUGACUCCAGGUUAGCAGAGUACUUUCCCGUGUUCUGUGUUUUAAAGAGCAAGCUGAGGUUCUGCAUGUGUUUCUGGCUUGGUGUUUUUAGCCCCUGGCAGUCACCUCUGUCUGACAGAGCCGUCCAGGUGAGCACUAGCCAGUGGUUGCACCCUGCACCCAGAAGGGGAUUUCACAUCUGAAAGGAGCUUGCCACAGAAGAGGUAAGAAAAGAAAUGUCUGCCAAUGUGGAAGAGGAGCAGGCCAGCUCCUGGAACACAUUUUAGGGAAUGUGUUUUCAUUUCUUUUCUUUCUUCUAGCUUAAAUAUUUUACUAUUUUCAAAAAGGAAAGCAUAUGAGCAUUAAAAAAAAUGUGUGCCAAGGAGUGCACUUGCAUGUAUAAGACAGCCUGCAGACAGGUGAGAUGGCACCUCAGAGAAAGAAGGAUACGGGUUUCCAAUCAAAUCAGUCACUAUGCUGUGGGGAGCUGGAACUGAAGCUCAGCACAGGUUAGGCAGGUCUGUGUGCAGUGUGGCAGGUUUUCCAUCUACUUCUUCAACUUACAGUGCAGCUCUGUUUACUGAACAAUGUUUCAGCAGUCAUGGGGUUUCAGCAGUCUGAACAACAAAAUUCAGUAAACUGUCAUUGUUCUCUCUGUGAUUAAUAGAGAUUAAUGUUGAUGCAUGUACCGGCAUGUGACACCACUGUUUCUACAAGGAACCAUUACUCAUCAGCUCAACAUGUGGGAUUAAUUGGCUUUGCUUAUUACCAGGGAGAAACAAGCAAAAAGGUCAAGGUGCCCUAGCAAAAUUAUGCACCAUCACUUAGUAAUAUCUCUUCAGUGGGAAAUACUCACUGAAUUGAGUGAGAACAAUUGUUUUUUAUUUUUUGUCAGACUGAUCCACUUGGUCUGUGUAAUUAAAGUCUAGAACAAAUGUACAGAGGCUCCCACAGCCCCUUGCUACCUACGGACCACUCAAGUUGUGUACUGACAGUCAUGUGCCACAGUAACAUUUAUUUUGGUCUCAUUGUUUAUUUUACAUUAAUUCAAAGCAUUUCUGACACUGUGUUUUUUUCCUGUGAGUUUGAUUUUGCAAAAACAAACAUUUGGGAAUAUUAAUGUUCUUUUAGGCCCUACAAAACUGCCCUCAGCACAACUAUCUGUACAGACAGGAAAUACUUAGCUGAGUAUUCCUUUAUGUACUUUGAAUAAUCUUUUUGCAGUGUUUUUCUGAGCAACUCUUAAAUUCAAUUUACAAGUUACAAAGGAUAUGAAAUUAAUGAUGAAUGGAGAAUGGCUGUGAUGCUGAAUAGCUGUGUAGAAAAAUCCUCCGUAAUAAAGAAUAAGAGGCAAAGGAAAGGUGUCAUAUCUGUGCACUGCUUCCACAAAAUGCAGGUAUAAUCUCUUAAAAAAGCAAAUAAUAGUAAUGUGAAAUGUAUGGGCUGUUUUAGUCUGUUUCUAAUUGAACAGGAGCACCUCUUCCCCACCACACCUCCCCAUUAUGAAAAGAAAUAUUGAUAAGGAAUUGUUUUGCAAAUGCUUAGAGAUUUUGCAGUUCUUUGGUAUCAGGAUGGGAGGUGUGUCCUAGGGAUCUGAAAGUAUCCUACUUCUCCCACUGAUUGGUGAGAAUCAAUGAAGCCCAAUUCGUCUCUGGUAAUAUGGGCUAAGAAACCAUAUCACCGAUGUAAACUUCAGAAAUUUGGCAAGGCCAAAGGCUUUCUAGAAGGCUAAAGAUCAGUAAAAAUAGUUCAGGAUUUUCAGAUUUCCUGCUCUAGCCAGGAACACCAAGAGAGGAACAGGUGCUCUCUGUACAAGCGUGCAGUUCUUUGAAAGACUUGGGACUAUUUCUGAUAAAGUCUGGGAUAUUGUAAGCCAAGAGUGCCACAGGAGGAGAUAUACUAAAGCAAUAUGAGUACUGAUUGCCCACCAGUUUGUAGCUUAUAUAAAGAUUUAUGGAGACACAGGGAUAAUUUGUUCCUCUUGAAACAGAAAAAUGACCCUUUUUUUUCCAAUUCUGGUACAAUAUGCUUACAGUGCAUUCCAAUUUUUUUUUCUUGUACAUACGAUUUAUAAAAAGAAAAACUAGAGGGAUUCAAUAACUUUUUGAAAAGUUAUUGGAAGAACUUAUUCACAUUUCAAAAAACAACCCUGAUUUAUGCUAUAAAACCCAGUAUUUUACCUUGCAUGGAGGCGAUUUCCAUAGCAGAUGGAAUAGAAUUUGGAUGAAUUUCCCUGCUGUCCUGGUUCUGGGCAGGACAGGUUUGAUUUCUGCAGUAGCCAGGAGAGGGCUUGACUAGGACCUGGAUAUUAUUCUGUACUACCUCACCUCAUUUCCUGUAUGGGGGAAGCAUGGAGCCAUUGAAUUGGAUUCUGUGGUGAGCAUUUUGCAUUUGAAUCACUCUGUCUCUCACUUGUACACUUUUGUUAUUAAUAUUGUUGCUGUUACUGUUCAUUUGCUUCUCUCAUUGCUGUUUCCAGUAAAUUGUUCUCAUCUCAAGUCAUGAUCUUUGCCUUUUGUGUCUCCAGUUCUCCACUCCAGUUGACACAGGGGAGGGUUGGAGGGAGAAUGGGAAGUGAGCAAGGGCACAAGUAGAGCAUGGUUUCACUGGGAGCACUAAAAUCCUAAACCAUGACAACUGUAAACACAAAUAGUCAUAGAAAGGUUUUGUGGAACUUCUGAAACUAGAAAAAGUAAUUUUUAUUUCCCGUAUUUUGGUGUAGUUUUGUCACAGAAGGAAGACCAUCUAUUUUUCCUUUGAAAGGCAAUGUCCUUUCAGAGCCACAAAAUUUAACUUUAAAAUAAAAUAGUCAAUAAUGAAAAGUAUAGAAAUGCCAUGCCUUUCUGAGUACCCCUUUUUGUCAAGAUUAAUAGGUAGAAGCAACAUUACAAAACAAACAGCUCUGGGAAAACAACACAUGUAAUACAGAUUAUUCAGACAAAAAGACUGCGAUGGUCAUCUCAUAUGACCUCCUCCUACUGUUAUAUUUGGACUUAUUUGUAGAAUAUUUUUAUGAGAAUGCCCACUGAAUCUUCAUCUCAACAAUCAUUUACUAGAUUUAAGAGAUGGUCACACAUCUUUAGUAAAUAAAUUUAAAUAUUAGAAACAACUGGUGGAAAUAACCACUUACAUGUUGGCAGGGACACUAGCAGAGACAUUUGUUAAGUAACAUGCAUCUGUUCUUUUAUGCUUUUACUAAUUAUCUACAGUGGAGAAUAAAGAAUAUAUUAAUUGAAGUCGCAUAUAUAUUAAAUUGAGGAAAAUUACUAAUAAAAAGAAGACAUGAAAAAAUAGGAUGGAACUCAGAUAAAAAAUACAGGGAGAAAGUGAGAAAAUGAGAUACUAUUUAUGGAUUAAAAUGCAAACAAAAUGAAAAGCUAUUCUAAUUCACAAGGGGAUAGAAAAAUCUAAGAUGUGCUAUCAAAUAAACCUGCAAAAAAACAACAUGGAAAGAAUCUUAGGGGGCUCUACUUUCAAUGCAGGAUAACGAGGUAAAAUAGCCAGAGAUAUAUAUAUAUAAUGAUACUGGAAUAUAUAGAUGAAAUCUUUUCACAGGCACACCUGGAAUAGCUUCUUCACUUCUUGAUGAGAUGAAGAUCUGAUGAAAGAGAGAGAAUUCGGAUUAGCACAGCAAAUGGAUUCAUCAAGGUCCAAAAUUCGAUUUAUUAGAAAGAAUGAAAAGACUUCAAAACAUUUUAGAUGAUGAGUUAGAUUAAGAGACUAGGGCAGCCUAGGAACAAAGCAGCAGUCUUGAAAUGCAUAAAAUCUAUAAAUAAUGUUGAUAAAGAGAUUUCACCAGCUAAUCCAAAGCAAACAUAAAUGAAUGGGUGAAACUAGGUAAAGAGGAGGUCAGACUAUAUGUCAACAGCCCCUUUCCUAACAGUACACCAUUAACUUGCACAGUGAUCUUGCAGGAGACAUAAUGAAAGAAACUCCACUUGGCCCAUUGAAAACCUAAGAAAAAAUGUGCAAGAGAGGACAGCCAGGAGUGAGCAGCUUCAGCUGCCCAGCUGGAAGUGACUGGUGUCCCCCUGCCCUUCCCCUGACCUUCACUUCUCACCAGAGGGAUGUCACAAGGCAGUAGGGAGCCACUUGUAUGCGUAGACCCUGGUUGUAGACCCUAUGCCCCUGCCCUGUUCAUGGCUGGAAAAUUGCUUCUCACUCCCUGUAAGGCUCUUUUGGGCAUGAAUUACUUCCCAUAUCAUUAGAAGUCAGUCUUUCCCUUCCUUGGUUCAAGUCUUUCCUGGACAUGCAAUGAGUCUGUGGCAGAAGAAUGGUGCCGCUUGUUUCACAACUCCAGCUUUGUCAGUUCCAGGCUGGCCAGAAGAUGCCCAUGGGAGUUCUCUAGCCUGGCAAGUACAGGAGCAUUGGUGAGAAAGAGUGUCACCUGGGAGUGAGAAGCCCUAACAGGGCAGCUGCAAACCUGAAACCUCUCCUUGGAAAGAAGUGCAGUUUUGUGUCAUGUUUCACAAAACAGGUUGAUGUUUUCACACCAGCCCUGAUUAGCACAGACGUCCCAAUUUCAUAUACAAGAUGCCUCAGCACACAGUCCCUGUUUCCCCAGACCAACUCUUCUGUAGUCCCUGUUUCCCCAGACCAACUCUUCUGCCAGGUCAGCAGAAAGAGCACAGAACAUGCAGCUGCAGCCUAUCAGUACAGGUACGUAUGCCUGCUGUAGGUGAUGGUGCCUGUGGGACUGGGUACUGCUGCCUCCCGUUCCUGAGAGAGGGAAGGGAGAGGAGGCUGGGCCAAGCGCUGGGCUCCAAACACUUCUGAAAUAACAACAGAAAGUAGGAUUGGAUAGGAAAAAUGAAUGUAUAAAGGCUUUCCUGCAGGUAGUGAGAAUUGGGAGUAUUUUCAGGCUGAAUUUUCAGCUACAUGAUGAGAUUCUCUCCCUUCCUUCAUGUCGGAGUCCAGGAUAUCUCUCUGGCUGCCCUGGCUGUCUUGAGACCCUGGCAUGAAGUGGGCUCGGAAAUCCUGGCAUGAAGUCAAAAACACCUGUGGCUUUGAUUUUAGCCUGUGGAAAACUGCCAAGUUUAUACAAGGCAUUACAAGCCACAAGGGUUUGAGUAGUGUGAUAUUUGAAUUAACACAGGGUGGAAAACUAGAAAUGUGGGUUUUUUAGAAUAUAAUUCAGGGGGUCAAGAUGGAGGAAUCUGGGCAUGUUCUGGCUUUCUUCUCCUUUGUCUUGUUGUCCAUGUCUUGGUGUGAUGGUGACACUUUUCUAUUGGUUCAAAGUAGGGAUUCACUGUCUAACAUAGAUGAUAGGAAUUGGUAAUAAAUUGUAAACAUAGACAUGUAGUUUUGAGUAUGUAAUGUGGGAGCUGCCUGAGGCUCAAGGGCAGAUAGCCAUUGCUUUCUUUCUGGAUGGAGCUUGGCAGGUCAGAGAAUGUUAUAGAUAAGAAAAAAUAAACAGCCUUGAAAACGCAA